AAAAUCUCAACUUUAUUAGAAGAGACGCAUUUAUUAGAUAAAAAGCCAAUGCAUGCUUUUACAGUAUGAAAAUUGGUGAUUUAUAAUAACUUAGCAAAUCGCAAAGUGAAAACAGGCGAUAAAUCAUUCAAGUUUCUGACCUAUCAGCUUUCGACGGUAUGGUAUUGGCUUACCGUGGCAGUGACGGUUAACGGGGGAUUAGGGUUCGAUUCCGGAGAGGGAGCCUGAGAAACGGCUACCACAUCUAAGGAAGGCAGCAGGCGCGCAAAUUACCCAAUUCUAACAGUUUGAGAGAGGUAGUAACAAGAAAUAACAAUACAAGGCAGUUAAAAUGCUUUGUAAUUGGAAUGAUAGAAAUUUAAACCCUUUUUAAAGUAUCAAUUGGAGGGCAAGUCUGGUGCCAGCAGCCGCGGUAAUUCCAGCUCCAAUAGCGUAUAUUAAAAUUGUUGCAGUUAAAAAGCUCGUAGUUGAAGUUCUGCUAAAAGUAACCGGUCUGCUUUUAAUAAAGGUGGUAUCUUGGUGUGUAUUUAGCAAUGAUGUCCUUUGAAGUGUUUUUUACUUUAUUGUAAUAAAGCAUAUUCAGGACUUUUACUUUGAGAAAAUUAGAGUGUUUCUAGCAGGCUAACGCUUUGAAUACUGCAGCAU
rnacentral:rRNA from 1 species